rnacentral:rRNA from 1 species
CAACAGGGAUUGCCCUAGUAACGGCGAGUGAAGCGGCAACAGCUCAAAUUUGAAAUCUGGCUCUUUCAGGGUCCGAGUUGUAAUUUGCAGAGGGCGCUUUGGCUUUGGCAGCGGUCCAAGUUCCUUGGAACAGGACGUCACAGAGGGUGAGAAUCCCGUACGUGGUCGCUAGCUAUUGCCGUGUAAAGCCCCUUCGACGAGUCGAGUUGUUUGGGAAUGCAGCUCUAAAUGGGAGGUAAAUUUCUUCUAAAGCUAAAUAUUGGCCAGAGACCGAUAGCGCACAAGUAGAGUGAUCGAAAGAUGAAAAGCACUUUGGAAAGAGAGUCAAACAGCACGUGAAAUUGUUGAAAGGGAAGCGCUUGCAGCCAGACUUGCUUGCAGUUGCUCAUCCGGGCUUUUGCCCGGUGCACUCUUCUGCAGGCAGGCCAGCAUCAGUUUGGGCGGUGGGAUAAAGGUCUCUGUCACGUACCUCUCUUCGGGGAGGCCUUAUAGGGGAGACGACAUACCACCAGCCUGGACUGAGGUCCGCGCAUCUGCUAGGAUGCUGGCGUAAUGGCUGUAAGCGGCCCGUCUUGAAACACGGACCAAGGAGUCUAACAUCUAUGCGAGUGUUUGGGUGUCAAGCCCGAGCGCGUAAUGAAAGUGAACGGAGGUGGGAACCCGCAAGGGCGCACCAUCGACCGAUCCUGAAGUUUACGGAAGGAUUUGAGUAAGAGCAUGGCUGUUGGGACCCGAAAGAUGGUGAACUAUGCUUGAAUAGGGUGAAGCCAGAGGAAACUCUGGUGGAGGCUCGCAGCGGUUCUGACGUGCAAAUCGAUCGUCAAAUUUGGGCAUAGGGGCGAAAGACUAAUCGAACUAUCUAGUAGCUGGUUCCUGC